GGAGUCAAGCGAUCAUCACUUGUUUCCCAAGUUGUUUCAAUUUAGUUCUGUAGCCACACUUGGACUUCAGUUAAUUCGUCAUGCUAAGAAGAAGUGAACGUUUGAGAAACAACGGAUACUAUGAUAUGUAUAGACAACCUGUUAUUUCAUACAGGGAGACGCCAAUCAGGGCCAUAAGGAGGCGCUUAACAGGUCGUCCUGCAAACCACCCUGCAGUCACAUUUAGAGAGAGGUCACAUUAUUCUGGUGACAAUGUGAUUGACAGAGAAAGACAUAUGAUGAUGACUCUGUUGCAGGGUGGUUUUGAUGUCUCAGUCUUUGUCUUUCUCGUCUUCGUCACUUUUGACAACCUCAGAAAUAUGUGAGAGCCAUUUAGGAUGCAG